CGGAUGCCGAUCUCGAAAACCUGUCCCAGUUCGGACUGGAGUCUGCAACCCGACUCCACGAAGUUGGAAUCGCUAGUAAUCGCGGAUCAGCAUGCCGCGGUGAAUACGUUCCCGGGCCUUGUACACACCGCCCGUCACACCAUGAGAGUUUGUAACACCCAAAGCCGGUGGGGUAACCUUUUGGAGCCAGCCGUCUAAGGUGGGACAGAUGAUUGGGGUGAAGUCGUAACAAGGUAAC
rnacentral:rRNA from 1 species